AUUGAACGCUGGCGGCAUGCCUUACACAUGCAAGUCGAACGGCAGCACGGACUUCGGUCUGGUGGCGAGUGGCGAACGGGUGAGUAAUAUAUCGGAACGUACCUUUCAGUGGGGGAUGACGUAGCGAAAGUUACGCUAAUACCGCAUAUUCUGUGAGCAGGAAAGCAGGGGAUCGCAAGACCUUGCGCUGAUUGAGCGGCCGAUAUCAGAUUAGCUAGUUGGUGAGGUAAAGGCUCACCAAGGCGACGAUCUGUAGCGGGUCUGAGAGGAUGAUCCGCCACACUGGAACUGAGACACGGUCCAGACUCCUACGGGAGGCAGCAGUGGGGAAUUUUGGACAAUGGGGGCAACCCUGAUCCAGCCAUGCCGCGUGAGUGAAGAAGGCCUUCGGGUUGUAAAGCUCUUUCGGCCGGGAAGAAAUCGUGUGGGCUAAUACCCCAUAUGGAUGACGGUACCGGAAUAAGAAGCACCGGCUAACUACGUGCCAGCCGCCGCUGUAAUAC
rnacentral:rRNA from 1 species